rnacentral:rRNA from 1 species
AUUGAACGCUGGCGGCAUGCCUUACACAUGCAAGUCGAACGGCAGCGGACCUUCGGGUGCCGGCGAGUGGCGAACGGGUGAGUAAUAUAUCGGAACGUACCUUUCAGUGGGGGAUAACGUAGCGAAAGUUACGCUAAUACCGCAUAUUCUGUGAGCAGGAAAGCAGGGGAUCGCAAGACCUUGCGCUGAUUGAGCGGCCGAUAUCAGAUUAGCUAGUUGGUGAGGUAAAGGCUCACCAAGGCGACGAUCUGUAGCGGGUCUGAGAGGAUGAUCCGCCACACUGGAACCGAGACACGGUCCAGACUCCUACGGGAGGCAGCAGUGGGGAAUUUUGGACAAUGGGCGCAAGCCUGAUCCAGCCAUGCCGCGUGAGUGAAGAAGGCCUUCGGGUUGUAAAGCUCUUUCGGCCGGGAAGAAAUCGCACAGGUUAAUACCCUGUGUGGAUGACGGUACCGGAAUAAGAAGCACCGGCUAACUACGUG